rfam:Trichobilharzia regenti genome assembly, scaffold: TRE_scaffold0054116
AUCCAGAUGACGAGUCUCAAACAGGACGAAACCCGCAUUCUGGAU